GGAGGGUACAGCUCAGUGGUAGAGUGCAUGCCUAGCAUGCAUGAGGUCCUGGGUUCAAUCCCCAGUACCUCCA
rnacentral:tRNA from 1 species